CUUGAUUCUCAUAAGAGGUCCAGCCUGCCCAGUGACACAAUUAAACGGCCGCGGUACCCUGACCGUGCGAAGGUAGCAUAAUCACUUGUUCUCUAAAUAAGGACUUGUAUCAACGGCAUCACGAGGGUUAUACUGUCUCCCCUUUUUAAUCAGUGAAACUGACCUUCCCGUGAAGAGGCGGGAAUAAAAAUACAAGACGAGAAGACCCCAUGGAGCUUUAAACCCAAUAGCAACCUCUAUUUUCUACAACCGUGUAAUCAAGAAGACCUGCUUAUUGGUUUUAGGUUGGGGUGACCCUGGAGUAAAACUAAGCCUCCAUGACGAAUAGAUUUCAUCCUAAUCCCAGAGCCACUGCUCUAAGAAUCAAAAAUUUGACGUAAACUGAUCCGCUUAUCGAUCAACGAACCA
rnacentral:rRNA from 1 species